GUUGGUGGGGUAAUGGCCCACCAAGCCGAUGAUCGGUACGGGUUGUGAGAGCAAGAGCCCGGAGAUGGAACCUGAGACAAGGUUCCAGACCCUACGGGGUGCAGCAGGCGCGAAACCUCCGCAAUGUACGGAAGUGCGACGGGGGGAUCCCAAGUGUUAUGCUUUUUUGUAUAACUUUUCAUUAGUGUAAAAAGCUUUUAGAAUAAGAGCUGGGCAAGACCGGUGCCAGCCGCCGCGGUAACACCGGCAGCUCGAGUGGUAGCUGUUUUUAUUGGGCCUAAAGCGUUCGUAGCCGGUUUGAUAAGUCUUUGGUGAAAGCUUGUAGCUUAACUAUAAGAAUUGCUGGAGAUACUAUUAGACUUGAAGUCGGGAGAGGUUAGAGGUACUACCGGGGUAGGGGUGAAAUCCUAUAAUCCUGGGAGGACCACCUGUGGCGAAGGCGUCUAACUGGAACGAUCUUGACGGUGAGUAACGAAAGCCAGGGGCGCGAACCGGAUUAGAUACCCGGGUAGUCCUGGCCGUAAACGAUGUGGACUUGGUGUUGGAAUGGCUUCGAGUUGUUCCGGUGCCGAAGGGAAGCUGUUAAGUCCACCGCCUGGGAAGUACGGUCGCAAGACUGAAACUUAA
rnacentral:rRNA from 1 species